rnacentral:rRNA from 1 species
UUAAGAAUCUUGCACAAUGGGGGCAACCCUGAUGCGGCGACGCCGCGUGAUUGAUGAAGGCUUUCGGGUUGUAAGGUUCAGUAAGCAGGGAAGAAUAAGCAACGGGUAAUAUUCGUUGGGAUGACGAUACCUGCCUAAAGCCCCGGCUAACUAAGUGCCAGCAGCCCCGGUAAUACUUAUGGGGCAAGCGUUGUUCGGAAUUAUUGGGCGUAAAGGGCGUCUAGGCGGAGGAUUAAGUUAGAUGUGAAAGCUAUGGGCUCAACCCAUAAACUGCAUCUAAGACUGGUUCGCUUGAGUCCGGGAGAGGAGAGCGGAAGUCCAGGUGUAGCGGUGAAAUGCGUAGAUAUCUGGAAGAACACCAGUGGCGAAGGCGGCUCUCUGGCCUAGGACUGACGCUGAAGCGCGAAAGCGUGGGGAGCGAACA